GAAUGGACAUUACUUAUUAGUCUUCACAUUUGAGUUGCAUCAUGCUAACGAGACAUUGCAAAUGAUCUUUAAUUUGGUGCAGCAUAACUCCCGACAAGCAUCGACGUCUGCCACUGGCGCGAGCAAGAACCCCGAUCCUUCACCUACGGGUUGACGAUUUGCUUCAGAUCACGGAAGCUUGGGUUGAUGGAGUGCUUGUCUUUAGUUUUUGUUUUGACUUUGUGAAACUUGCUACCUAUGAUGAAACUGUGUAAUAUUGAUGAAA